CUACGGGAGGCAGCAGUGAGGAAUAUUGGUCAAUGGGUGCAAGCCUGAACCAGCCAUCCCGCGUGAAGGAUUAAGGUCCUAUGGAUUGUAAACUUCUUUUGUAUAGGGAUAAACCUACCCUCGUGAGGGUAGCUGAAGGUACUAUACGAAUAAGCACCGGCUAACUCCGUGCCAGCAGCCGCGGUAA
rnacentral:rRNA from 1 species